UAGUUAUAAUGCGGGUGGUUAGUUAUGGUGCAGGGUGGUUAGUUAUGAUGCAGGGUGGUUAGUUAUAAUGCAGGGUGGUUAGUUAAGAUGCAAGGUGGUUAGUUAUGGUGCAGGGUGGUUAGUUAAGAUGCAAGGUGGUUAGUUAUGGUGCAGGGUGGUUAGUUAAGAUGCAAGGUGGUUAGUUAUGGUGCAGGGUGGUUAGUUAAGAUGCAAGGUGGUUAGUUAUGGUGCAGGGUGGUUAGUUAUGAUGCAGAGUGGUUAGUUAUGAUGCAGGGUGGUUAGUUAUGAUGCGGGGUGGUCAUUUAUAAUGCAGGGUGGUCAGUUAUGAUGCAGGGUGGUUAGUUAUGAUGCAGGGUGGUUAGUUAUGAUGCAGGGUGGUUAGUUAUGAUGCAGGGUGGUUAGUUAUGAUGCAGGGUGGUUAGUUAUGAUGCAGGGUGGUUAGUUAUGAUGCAGGGUGGUUAGUUAUGAUGCAGGGUGGUUAGUUAUGAUGCAGGGUGGUUAGUUAUGAUGCAGGGUGGUUAGUUAUGAUGCAGGGUGGUUAGUUAUGAUGCAGGGUAGUUAGUUAUGAUGCAGGGUGGUUAGUUAUGAUGCAGGGUGGUUAGUUAUGAUGCAGGGUGGUUAGUUAUGAUGCAGGGUGGUUAGUUAUGAUGCAGGGUGGUUAGUUAUGAUGCAGGGUGGUUAGUUAUGAUGCAGGGUGGUUAGUUAUGAUGCAGGGUGGUUAGUUAUGAUGCAAGGUGGUUAGUUAUGGUGCAGGGUGGUUAGUUAAGAUGCAAGGUGGUUAGUUAUGGUGCAGGGUGGUUAGUUAAGAUGCAGGGUGGUUAGUUAUGGUGCAGGGUGGUUAGUUAUGAUGCAGGGUGGUUAGUUAUGAUGCAGGGUGGUUAGUUAUGAUGCAGGGGGUUAGUUAUGAUGCAGGGUGGUUAGGUAUGAUGCAGGGUGGUUAGUUAUGAUGCAGGGUGGUUAGUUAUGAUGCAGGGUGGUUAGUUAUGAUGCAGGGUGGUUAGUUAUAAUGCAGGGUGGUUAGUUAUGAUGCAGGGUGGUUCGUUAUAAUGCAGGGUGGUUAGUUAUGAUGCAGGGUGGUUAGUUAUGAUGCAGAGUGGUCAUUUAUAAUGCAGGGUGGUUAGUUAUGGUGCAGGGUGGUUAGUUAUGAUGCAGGAUGGUUAGUUAUGAUGCAGGGUGGUUAGUUAUAAUGCAGGUGGUUAGUUAUGAUGCAGGUGGUUAGUUAUGAUGCAGGGUGGUUAGUUAUGAUGCAGGGUGGUUAGUUAUGAUGCAGGGUGGUUAGUUAUGAUGCAGGGUGGUUAGUUAUGAUGCAGGGUGGUCAUUUAUAAUGCAGGGUGGUUAGUUAUGAUGCAGGGUGGUUAGUUAUAAUGCAGGGUGGUUAGUUAUGAUGCAGGGUGGUUAGUUAUGAUGCAGGGUGGUUAGUUAUGAUGCAGGGUAGUUGGUUAUGAUGCAGGGUAGUUAGUUAUGAUGCAGGGUGGUUAGUUAUAAUGCAGGGUGGUUAGUUAUGAUGCAGGGUGGUUAGUUAUAAUGCAGGGUGGUUAGUUAUGAUGCAGGGUGGUUAGUUAUGAUGCAGGGUGGUUAGUUAUGAUGCAGGGUGGUCAUUUAUAAUGCA